GAGCACGUAGGUGGGUUUGUAAGUCAGAUGUGAAAGCCUUCUGUUCAACGGGAGAAUUGCAUCUGAAACUACAGACCUUGAGUAUAGGAGGGGAGAAUGGAACUUCUGGUGGAGCGGUGAAAUGCGUAGAUAUCAGAAGGAACGCCGGCGGCGAAAGCGAUUCUCUGGCCUAUUACUGACACUCAGUGCGCGAAAGCUAGGGGAGCAAACGGGAUUAGAUACCCCGGUAGUCCUAGCCGUAAACGAUGGGCACUAAGUAGAGGGAAUUACCGAUGUUCUCUCUGCCGUAGCUAACGCAUUAAGUGCCCCGCCUGGGGAGUACGGCCGCAAGGCUAAAACUCAAAAGAAUUGACGGGGGCUCGCACAAGCGGUGGAGCAUGUGGCUUAAUUCGAUGCAACGCGAAAAACCUUACCGGGGCUUGACAUGGUAGAAGUAGGAACCCGAAAGGGUAACGAACGGUAUCCAGUCCGUAGCUAUCACAGGUGUUGCAUGGCUGUCGUCAGCUCGUGUCGUGAGACGUUGGGUUAAGUCCCCUAACGAGCGAAACCCUUGUUUUUAGUUACCAGCGGGUUGUGCCGGGUACUCUAGAAAGACUGCCGUCGUCAAGACGGAGGAAGGUGGGGAUGACGUCAAGUCAUCAUGGCCCUUAUGCCCCGGGCUGCACACGUGCUACAAUGGUCGGUACAAACGGAAGCGAAGCCGAGAGGUGAAGCGAAUCC
rnacentral:rRNA from 1 species